rnacentral:rRNA from 1 species
GUGCAAGCGUUACUCGGAAUUACUGGGCGUAAAGGGUGCGUAGUUGGUUUGUUAAGUCUGCUGUGAAAUCCCCGGGCUCAACCUGGGAAUGGCAGUGGAUACUGGCAAGCUAGAGUGCGGUAGAGGGUAGUGGAAUUCCCGGUGUAGCAGUGAAAUGCGUAGAGAUCGGGAGGAACACCAGUGGCGAAGGCGGCUACCUGGACCAGCACUGACACUGAAGCACGAAAGCGUGGGGAGCAAACAGG